UUCCAACAGCAAUGUAGAAUACCUAUAGCAAUGUAACAAAACUAGUAAAUGGAUUCAAACUGGAAGCAGGUGGCUUUGAUUUCAUUGUGUUAUGCAACAAAUGAUUUUGCUUCAUAUAUAUUUUUGUUCAUUUAUUUAACAGCUUUUGUUUUGCAAAGUUCUAUUAAGCAGCUGCAAUUUCUAGUUUAUAAUGCUUUUAAUUUACUAAAAGGAAAAUUGGAUACUUUUUAAAUGAAAUUAUUCAAUGGGAUCAAUAAAAUUUAAGCCAGAAGAGUUAUCUCCACAGGUGGCACUGCUGUAUUACAGGGUAAACAAUGCUACCAGUCAGCUGACCACUGUUUACUAAGUAAAUUCAGAGAAUUAUAGUAUGUGUUUUUAGCCUGUUAUUAAAUUGGUUUAUUGGUGUUGCACACAUUCAUGUUAAGGAAUAUAUAAACAGCAUACAGUAUGAAUGAAUGACUGAAUGGAGAUAAUUCAGUUUAGUGACCCAAUGUAUUGUGUUCAAAGAAGGCUCCAUCCAACAAUUCAAAGACAUGUUAAUGCAGUGAGGCAACUGAUGGCAAAUGAUGGCUUUGUGACGGUUAAUGAAAACUACAUGGUAUUUUACACUGAUGGUGGCGAACAGUGACUGAAAAUUUCUCAACCAAUAGUUACAUUUAGUUGAAAGUGAUGGUAUAAUCUUAUACAGACUAUACUGAAUUAUAACAAACAGUGGAAAACAUUGAUAUACUACAAUGACAGUGGAUCUGUAUAGAAACUGGUGGCAUUUAGCUCCAUAUUGUU
rnacentral:lncRNA from 1 species